rnacentral:rRNA from 1 species
AUUGAACGCUGGCGGCAGGCCUAACACAUGCAAGUCGAGCGAGCGGCGGACGGGUGAGUAAUGUCUGGGAAACUGCCUGAUGGAGGGGGAUAACUACUGGAAACGGUAGCUAAUACCGCAUACCAUCGGAUGUGCCCAGAUGGGAUUAGCUGGUAGGUGGGGUAACGGCUCACCUAGGCGACGAUCCCUAGCUGGUCUGAGAGGAUGACCAGCCACACUGGAACGGAGACACGCACCAGACUCCUACGGGAGGCAGCAGGGGGGAAUACUGCACAAUGGGCGCAAGCAUGAUGCAGCCAUGCCGGGUGGGUGAAGAAGGCCGUCGUGUUGUAAAGUACGUUCAGCGGGGAGGCGUUAGCCGCAGAAGAAGCACCGGCUACCGUCGCGCCAGCAGCCGCGGCGG